rnacentral:rRNA from 1 species
GAUGAACGCGUGGCGGCGUGCCUAACACAUGCAAGUCGAACGGACAUUUUUUGGAAAGCUCUUCGGAACUGGAAUCUAAAUGUUAGUGGCGGACGGGUGAGUAACGCGUGAGCAAUCUGCCUUUCAGAGGGGGAUAACAGCCGGAAACGGCUGCUAAUACCGCAUAAUGCAUCGGAUUCGCAUGUUUCUGACUGCCAAAGAUUUUAUCGCUGAAAGAUGAGCUCGCGUCUGAUUAGCUAGUUGGCGGGGUAACGGCCCACCAAGGCGACGAUCAGUAGCCGGACUGAGAGGUUGAACGGCCACAUUGGGACUGAGACACGGCCCAG